rnacentral:lncRNA from 1 species
GUUUUACUUUGUCUGUGGGCUUUCUGGUUGCAAGAGGAGCCCAGGGUCCCCCAGGAAGUUCUCCUGUGGAGGCCUUGGGAGUGAGACAAUGCAGACAGGAGGCAGGAGGAGCAAGGGCGUGCAGGUGGAAGGAGUGAGGACAAAGGGCGAGAGGAGUAAGCCGGGCACGAAACACUGGCAGGACUGGGAGAGCUAGAAGGGAAGGCUGACCACUAACACCAGACCCCCCGCCCCAACUCCCAUGGACUCUCCACCCAUGCUGCUUGCACGGAGAAGCCUGAUGUGAAGAACUGACUCAUUGGAAAAGGCCCUGAUGCUGGGAAAGAUU